rnacentral:lncRNA from 1 species
AUGAACUUGUCUGCAUUUAAUUUUACAAUUACGGAACUUGUGUUCGAUGCUCGUGCAGAAUUCAUAAAUAGUAAACCAAAUUAUUUUUUUAAUUAUAGACGAACUGAACCGUAAUUAAUGAAAUUGAAUAGAUCAACUACUGUAUGAAGUAACUCAACUAUUAUCAAAAAAAAAAAAAUUGUAAUUUUGUGUUUAGUAAGCCGUUUACUUCUUUAUUCUGAACUGCCGGAUCAACUAGUGGGUUCAUUGGCCCAUCUAGACAAUAUUUUUAAGGGGUGCGAGUAAUAUUUUAAGGGGUGCGAGUUUAACCAAAUUUUUAAAAAAUGCGAGCAGGAUUUUGCCCUACAAAAUACACUAUUAUUUUCUUUCAAGAGGUAUGCUCCCACUAAAGGCUCUACCUAGGUCCGCCUCUACUACAACAUAAAAAGAACAUACAUAUACAUAAUACAUAUAAUCAUAACAACAAUAAUAAUAAUAAUAAUAUAGUUAAAAUUAAUAUGUAAAAUUUAAAAACUUCACUCCAAUUAGUUUAAAAUAAAAAGAAAACGUUGAUAAAGAUUUGACUCUGAUUUGACAAAAACAAAACACUGAUAAAGAUUUGAGAAAAAUUGUACUACAGCACUUACUGAUCAAGAUUGAUGACUACACUCUCCAAGCCAUCAGGAGCAGCAGAAGACAACGUUGUUGUCAGAAUAUGUGUCUUCUUGCUAGCAUGAGCCUCCUCUUCCUCCUCCUCCUCCUCUUGUAUCCUGCUGUUUUUCUGAGCAUAUAAACCAGAGCCAUGAAGAUGAAGCAUAUUCCCCCAGCUGGGUGUUAGGUUUUCUUCAUCCUCAUACCUCAUUCUCCAUAUUAAACCCCAUAUUCAUAGCUAAAGACACCACCAGAACAUUCUUCAAAAAUAACACAUAAUAAUCCGCCAUCUAACUGUUUUUGCUUCAAAACAAUAUGAAAUGAUGCCCUUUUAGUUAU